UAUAAACAUCUUGCACGAGGGAAAACUGGCUAAGCGUGGACAAUAAAUUAUAGAAGUGGUAUUCCAAUGGCUCCAAAGAUUAUCAGUCUGUUAAUGAAUCCCUUUUGUUGGUGGAUGAUACUACAACAGCCAAUGUUGUUGUUGUAGCCUCAUUUUCAUGUAGAGGUUGCGAUCCUCAACAAGCUCCUGUAAGUGAGCAAACUCUUUCCGGUCCAAAGGACCGAUCGCCGCGGGAACAGUGUGACCAUAACCGCCAACAACCCGUUGUCACAUCGAGCAUCAUAGGCACUCAAUAUUUGUGGAAAAAUCGGUGCUGCCCGGCCUCUCGCUCCGCUCGAUAUCGCUGAUUGUCCGCGACUGCCGUUACAGCUACCCCGUAUGGAGCAUUUUACUAUCCGCAAUCUGUGAACGCGACCGGUAGCUUGCAGCUAAGCUUUUCGUGGCUGAAAUGAACACCACACAGAUUGAACCUCAAUGUUCCAGCCUGUGUGGUGCUCACAGCUAUCCCGUGCCGGAUGCUUUCAAAUUCGAUGAUCAUCAAACUCUGGCUCGAAAGAUAAUGACAAAAAUUAAGACAAACCAACUGCUGACGAUAUCAUCGACAUUGUGUUACAAGCGGCUUACAGGCUUUUAGGAGCAGUCACACAGUCUCUCCUUUCUCGACAUCCUCAUAGACAUAUGUUCCAGCCAAAGUGGUAGAACUCUUCCACCUUCCGGGGACAUGCGUAUAUUCCGAAAGCAUAUGUCCGGCAAGGCAAUACGUUUUCCAAACCAUGGAACCUAUUGUGGAUACCAUGAUAAAGAGAAAAUCGGGCGAAAUAUUUAUUUGGGAGCUACAAGAGAGAACCUCUAGAUCAAGCGGCAUAUCAAACAGGUCUAAACAACAUUCAUGCAGACACGAUAGCAGAUGCGGUAAAUGGCUACCGGGUGAAAAUAGUCCUUGGAGAACGACCGACUCCCAUUGCACCUGAAGAAAUUAACCUCCCUUGGCAAACCAGAGUUGUUCUGGCACAAUUACGUCCCGGCAGAUGCAGCCGUCUCAACUCCUACAGAGCAAGGAUUGAUGCCGACUUGAAAGAUGUGUGUACCAAUUUUAACCAGGGACCGCAAGAUACACGUCACUUGUUUUACUGCCCGGACAGACCCACUCGACUCAGACCUAGAUCCCUGUGGACGCACCCCAUCUUAGUCGCAGAGUUCCUGGGUCUUGACACUCAGCAGAAUCAAGCAGACGAAAGAUAGAACACAAUAAACUGCCACAACAACAACAA